rnacentral:rRNA from 1 species
AUCGAACGCUGGCGGCAUGCCUAACACAUGCAAGUCGAACGAGUGGCGGACGGGCGUGUAAUGUCUGGGAACUUGCCUGAUGGAUGGGGAUAACUACUGGAAACGGUAGCUAAUCCCGCAUACCAUCGGAUUUGCCCAGAUGGGAGUAGCCAGUAGGUGGGGUAAAGGCUCACCUAGGCGACGAUCCCUAGCUGGUCUGAGAGGAUGACCGGCCACCCUGGAACGGGGACACGGUCCAGACUCCUCCGAGAGGCAGCAGUAGGGAAUAUUGCGCAAUGGGGGCAAGCCUGAUGCAGCCGUGCCGCGUGUGUGAAGAAGGCCUUCGGGUCGUAAAGUACUUUCGGCGGGGAGGCGUUACCCGCAGAAGAAGCACCGGCUAACUCCGUGCCAGCAGCCGCGGUAAUUC